CCUCCUAGGAGGAUCACAAUAAGAUAAAAGGAAGAGAUGGAGGACAGAGAAAUGGUGGCAGGACAGAAAGAGGAGCGGGAGGAUGCACUCGCAUGUUCGACUUCAGCUCGUGGAUCCCCACGCCCUCCGCGUGCAUCCGACCCCACCUCGACAGCUGACUUCAAUUCUCAGACAAAUGGAUUUUCUACUUUGAUCGUCUAGCUUCGUCUACCAAUCGGGACU
rnacentral:lncRNA from 1 species